UAUCUAAUGUGCGUGCUGACGUGCAUACAGCUGUAACUACACAGAGCAGCUGUAUGGCGAAGUCAAUAGUUGCUGGGCGGGUAAGCCGGAAUUAACAGCUGAGAUUAUAAUUGUGGCUUGUGGUGCGGUUUCUGGCAUUAUGGCUAUGCAGGCACUUCAAGCGGAGCCACUUCCGCAGGGAAGCAGUCCCGAUCCGCUGUGUUGGUUUCACAGUUUGCCCAUAGAGCUGUUAGCACACAUCUUCUCGUAUUUGGACAUCUUCGACAUCUCCCAUUGCUGCACACUGCGUUGUCCUGUAGGGUCUGCAAGCGUUGGAACCUCGUCGCUACUUAUUCUAUUUGGCUCCGAUUUCCCAGAGGAACGUCAUCGUCGAUAUCCAGAAAUGGUUGAGAUACGAGCUCAUUAAAUUCGACUUUGUGUCUCAGGAACCAUAAACCAAUAAUUAUCUUAUGGUCUAUAAAGGCGAGCCGGUGUUAAAACGGUUCAUUACACGGUUUACUCGCCAUGUUAUCCUUCGCUGGCCAUUGGACACCUGUCCACCGGAAGCGGAACUUAUCAUAAGUAGUAACACGUACGGCAGCCACUAUCAGUACAACUACUGGGGUCCGAUUUCCAGAAGUCUCGACAACAUCAUAAGAAUCGUGGAAAUACUGCAGCGCAGCCUUGGCAACACCAUUUCAACGCUGACCUUACAGAAUUUAAAGCUCUACGUAAAUCACUGGGAUGAAAAUCGGAAAACACCGGUGAUUCGCGAUGCCUUUCCAGUGAUGCAUUACGAUUGUGUCCAGAUCAAUUGCCAUUUCGAACCCCUAGAUUCGGCGAUACCUCCGAGGCCGCUUAUCCUAUGCACUGAGGUCGACAAAAUAGAUCUUAUCAGCGAGAAGGAUCCACCGCAGCGUAGUCAUCACAUUGCAGUUGGGGAACGAUUUGGUCGCUUCUUAUCAAGACCGCUGUCUCUAAACGAUGAAGUGAGGAUGGACAGGGCACUGCGGUCGCCAACGACAAUUGGGUGGAAACUGGACAACUAUUGGAAAAUGUAAUGGCUCCUCCGCAUACUCGAUACUUUGGCAGUCAAGCCCCUUCUUACCAGAGCCUAGCCGAAAUGGAAUUAACUCUAGCUCAGAUUCGAUCGUAUCCCUUGUGGAAACAGUAUCUCGCGCGCAACCUAUUGCAAUGCUACAUAGAUGACGCCAACGAAAAAUCUGGAAGUGCCUAGGAGCAGACGAUUAGAAUCGCCAUACAAAUUGCGCCAGGCCCUUCGGGUGUGUCCUUGCUGCGAACCGUUAUUAUUAAACUGUAGACCUUGCUGCGAACCGUUAUUAUUAAACUGUAGACCUUGCUGCGAACCGUUAUUAUUAAACUGGCUUAAGUAUUUUAUAUAUGUAUACUAUGAACCAUUUUGUUUUAUAAUAUUUAAAAGGGAUUGCUUCGAUGAUUCGGUUGGCGCUUCGUCAAAGACGCAUUGCAUAGCCUGGAUACUGGAAAAGUGCCACAUAUGUACGGUCGUAGUUCGCAUGGAUGUGGAAGCUUAGUCCCAUUCACCUUUGCUCUGUCAAUGUCUGGAAGUUUCAGUUUUAUUUAUGCCGUAUAAGCCGAUUUUAUGUGGGAAAAAACGUGGGAAGUUUUUUAUCAGUCGACAUCGAUCCCAUACUUCGCUCAAUCGAAGUAUAUGACCUGUUAUCACAAAAUAAACUCUCACCUUUCGCUUUUUUCAAAUACAUCAAUAACACAACGUGAAGUACAAUAACGACCCACCAUUGCCGGCAAACAAUAUGGAGCGGAGUGUCCUAUC